rnacentral:rRNA from 1 species
AUUGAACGCUGGCGGCAUGCCUUACACAUGCAAGUCGAACGGUAACAGGUCUUCGGAUGCUGACGAGUGACGAACGGGUGAGUAAUACAUCGGAACGUGCCUAGUAGUGGGGGAUAACUACUCGAAAGAGUGGCUAAUACCGCAUGAGAUCUACGGAUGAAAGCAGGGGAUCGCAAGACCUUGUGCUACUAGAGCGGACGAUGGCAGAUUAGGUAGUUGGUGGGAUAAAAACUUACCAAGCCGACGAUCUGUAGCUGGCCUGAGAGGACGAUCAGCCACACUGGGACUGGGACACGGCCCAGACUCCUACGGGAGGCAGCAGUGGGGAAUUUUGGACAAUGGGCGCAAGCCUGAUCCAGCAAUGCCGCGUGCAGGAUGAAGGCCUUCGGGUUGUAAACUGCUUUUGUACGGAACGAAAAGCCCUGGGUUAAUACCCUGGGGUCAUGACGGUACCGUAAGAAUAAGCACCGGCUAACUCUGUGCCAGCAGCCGCCGUAACAC